rnacentral:miRNA from 1 species
GCAGACACAUUCCAGCCAAUCAGCAGCAGACCCUCCCUCCCAGACCCUCCCACCCCCUGGACAGCAUCCAUUUUACAUUCAUUGUGAAGCUGCAUUCUUAGUGAGCUGUCCAGGAGGUGGGAGGGUCUGGGAGGGAGGGUCUGCUGCUGAUUGGCUGGAAUGUGUCUG